UGACCUCAAAUCAGGUAGGAUUACCCGC
rnacentral:rRNA from 1 species